AAAAAGAAAAACCAAACGUUACUUAUAUUUUCACAGGAAGCAAGGAGACACGAAUAGCAACCUUUAAAUUAAAGUCUAGUAUCUAUCGUCGUAGAUGGAAGAGCAAUGGCACAUUGGAAAUGUCAUGAGACGUUUAAUGCCUGAAGCAUCCCAGGUAUCUACUUCCUCGUUACAAGGGGUUCUAAAUACGGAACGCAUCUCAUGCAUCUUACAACCAAAAAAGAAGAACGUAGAAGAAGAUACGUAGAAGAACUGAUGAACAAUUUUCAAGAGAGCUUAUAGCAUGGCCAGCACCCUCUGUUCACUUCAAGAAAGCUUCGUCGCAAGAAACUCUCUGGAUUAUCUAGUAAAAACUCGGGAACAGUCUUACAGUUCAAGAGUACAGGCUGCAAGGAGAAGCUGUGGACGUAAUGCAGAGUAAACAGAGCAAUUGACACUAUGUGAUCAUGACAGUGAACGUGGAUCGAAUCGAUAAGCGAAUACAAACACCUAGUCAGCGUCCUGAUUACUAAUAGGAAUCUACAAUGCGUGCUUCACUUUUAAAAGAUCACGAACAAUGUGUAUGAUGGCUUUUAAGGUUGGGCUACUUGUAGAAUACACCUUAUAUUCCGUAGUCGGAUCACGCCGAUAUACAUAGCUGUCAUAUCGCGUGGCAAAUGUGUCGAUAUCUCAUGCUCUACGGUUCCUUGAACUUGCGACCUAAUAAUUUUCUAGAACAUUCGCGAUAGUGUCAUGCCAUUCUGGCGUUACUGUCGCGACUGCCAAGGCUGGAUCGAAUAUCAUUGGUUGAAAUUUUGUUUUUAUAUAUUUCAAAUCGACUUUUGUAUACGUCGCUGUGGAUAUGAUAACCUUAACACGUUAAGGAGCCUAAGAAUAGAGCACGAGUUUAUGGAACAGCUGAGAAGGGUUCGUUGCUAGGAAAAAGAAGAGAAAGAAGUAAUAAAUAAUUUGAUGUAUAAUUGUAGAUCCGUCUCUGGAGAGACUUGGUUAAGUAAUUACAAGCCUGGAGGAACUUCCUGUAGGUGGUAAAGUAUCAAAGUGGGUAAUCAGUUUAGUGGGUUAUCUAUUAGAAGUCGUUGGCGCGUUGUGUCAUUGGUCACGUACAAUUAGAGGCAGAGUAGAAUUUUUGGAUCGUCGCCAUUGUCUGACUUACGAUUAGUACUGUUUCCCUCUAGGGCAACCAUUCGUGACUAUUGUCACACGGUCCAUUAGCUACAGACCGGAAAGGAGAGUUUCGGAAAUGCUUGGAAAAUGAUGCUGCCCGCAACGAGAAAAGCCUGACGACUCAUUGUGGAUAGAUUUCCACAAGCAGAAAGCAUUUGUAAGAAGCACCCAUCAUAUAGGAGGCCGCAGGAGAUGACUGUGACUCUAUAAAUACAGCGUGAAGUGGGCGAGAAGAUGCAAUCCGGUAGAACUAGAGCGGGUAGAAACAAUUUUACAGAGACGGUAGCCAGAAGAAGAGCGUCCGAGACUGGAAACCGAUUUCAAGAAAGAAAAGUUAUGCCAGAGUAAAGUAGUCGAGCAUCUUUUCUUUUCUACUCCGUCCCGUGUUCGGGCAGCUAGUAAAAGCCAGGAACGCGUUACCAUCAUGUUCUUUAUGGGGGUUUGAAUUUAGGUGAUGGUAACGGUCCUCGUGCGUAUUUGCAUAUGUGUUCACAAAACUGAGAAAUUCGAUAAAAUUCAUAUAUUCUCUAAAACUGCUGUAUAAUUUAAAAAAAUAUUUUAAUCUCAAUCUUCAAUAUCGAUUCUUUCUUUCUGAUAAAAAAUAGUAAAAAAUCAAUGUUGAUUAUAAAGCUUCCGUCGUAUCUCCAUACGACUCAUCCCAGCUGACAAUGAUGACCCAUUGAACGUUAUCAGAAAAGGAUUAACGUCAGCCAAGGUCAAGGUAGAUAUAUACCAGUCCUUGAAAAUUGACCUUGACCGAACCAUCAUUGAAAUUGGAUAAUAUUACCAGGCACGUCUUCGCCAAGAUCGAUGAAUGAAUUUCUCCAAGUGCCACGUGAAGUGACGUUCGACUGUGCUAAUUCUCGAAAUAAAAAGGACCGACGCAAGCUGCCAAGAAGAAGCUCGGCGAAUCGCUCGUGCAAGAAAUCCGCCAAGAGAGUUUUUUAAAACCCAACGAUCAUGCUACGAGUUAAUUUAUCUCUCCGCAUUGCUGACAUUCAGCAUGGAACUUUCACGGCUCAGUUUCCCGAACAACCAACCCAGACGUUAUGUAUUUUCGAGCGUCGCGACGCCCUGAUAUCUUUACCCUCGAACAUAUAGCACGCGAUAGAAGAAACUGCGUGUUCUUUUAACGUUUAGAAAUACGCUGUACCGUCAACGUCCAUUCGUACAAGAGCGUUGAGUUUCCUGAAGAAUUAAUUUACUCAAUGACGUCAUAGCUCGCACCUCGAAUUAAGAAAAACGUAUAAACACAUCAAAGAAUAAUGACAUUGCAUAUCUUAUUCGCAGGAUGAAAAUGACCUAACGACAGACGUUCCUGUACUACGACGCGCUCGUUUUUUACGGGCCGUCGCGUACGCGUCUCUCGUACAGCUCCAUAACCUGUCCAACGUCUGGAUCCUGUCUAUUGAAAGCAACCACGCUAAUUGUCGAGAAUUUAUGAGGCUGCUCCUAAUGAGACAACGCAAGUUAUUUACGCCGCCUUUAAUAGACGACUGCCUUUGCGGAUGUGGAUGCGUCUUCGCUCCGGGAGUUCAUAGGAAUAUCGAGCCUAAUCCCCGUGUGCUGACUCGAGACGACGGCUGCUGCUGCUACUGCUGCAAACUACGAAUAGAAAGGAACGUAGGGACGACAGAAGGAAAAGGAAGAAACUUUCUGAUGGAAAGUACAUACCAGUGGGAUUCUCAUUGGCAGCUAUGCCUUGCUAUCAUAAAUUGCGAUCUGUCGAGAUGCGGGUAAAAGUAAAAAUCACGACCACGUAGCUCUGGACGCGGAAUAAAUUUCUCAUUCGCCGGAAAAGGACUGUGCGUAGCCAACCCGCAUGGAAAUUGGUCCAUAGGAAAAUUUUUUUUAAUCUCUGGAACUGAUGCUAGAAAGAGGAACAUGGUACAACUGUGCUCACAGGAGUCGUCUCAUGUACAAGUGGUCCUCCUCAGGGUUUUACACGUUCAUAUCGCAUCCGGAUAGCCGGCCAUGAAAGAGCUCUCCCUUAUCAAGAUCCGCGAGGUGCCCGUCAAGCAAGUGUAAACAUGAGUGCAAGGACUAAUUCACACCGGAAGAUAAGAGCGGCAGCUGCAGCCUACCGUCAACGAGAUAGACAGAGAGAGAGAGAGAGAGAUGAGAUCCGAUAAGAAUUUUUAUCUAGUGUCUUUCCCAGUCUUGAUUAUCCGACCAC